AUGCCAUCCAAACUGUUCGUCGGAAAUUUGCCAGAUAAUGUAGAUUCCAACAAAUUAAAGCAGGUGUUCCAACCUUUUUGUAAAGUAACAGAAUGCGAUAUUGUGAAGAAUUACGCGUUUGUGCACAUUGAGGAAGACGAUGUAGAUCCAAUCAUCACACGAUUGACAGGAUAUACAAUUGAUGGAAAAGUAGUUAAUAUUAAAAAGUCAACUUCAAAAUUGCGACCGACGCCUGGGAUGCCGAAUCGUUGCUUUAGGUGUCAAUCGGAUGAACAUCGGACACCACAAUGUCCACAAGACCCUACAAAUAAUCAAAAAACUGAAAAUGGUGUACAGACUUUGAAAUUUGAUUUGACAUCUGGAGCUGGAGUAAAACGAUCAGCUGGUGAUCCGAUCAUAGAUUCUGCAAAAAGAAUCGCGUACGGUGCUCAAUCGGUUGUUGAGCCUGAAAUUCCACAACCAAUGGACCCAGAUCUUCAAGCCUUGUACCAGGAGUAUCAAUUAUCGAGACAACGUUAUGUUUAUUAUCGUGAUCGUCUACUCAAAGAGAUGGAAGCUAAACAACAUGGAUCAACAGCUGGAUUUGCUUUAUCAUCUUCAUCAACCGUUCCUGUUCCUGUUGCAUCAGCUCCUCCUGGAGCCACACAGUACUGUAUUCCCCCGAGUUUCAGACUUUUUCAAACUAUCGGCGCAUUUUUACGGAAUAUUUUUCUUUCAAUCGAUUUUUCGCUCUAACCUCGAAAUUGUCCGAUUUCUUUCUCCUUCGUUUCAAUUUCUCCGUAUGCUCUACAAAAUCGUUACAUUAUCGUAAUUUCUGCGUUGAAAGUCCGUUAACUUUCAGUCAUCUUCAUUACCGUAAACCGUCGCUGUCACCGUCGUCUCUUCAAAAACGUUAUUCAAAAUCUGAAUGCUGAAAAAUAUUUUUCAUAUGUAUCUAUUUUCAGACUUUCUGCUGCUCCGGUUUCCUAUCAACCAAAUGCCCCACCAGUCAUUGCUUCAAUCAAUGCUCCAUAUGCGGUUGCUUCUAACUUGAGAGCUCCAUAUGCGUUACAAUCGGCUCCAUACGCAUCGGCUGCAUCGGCGCCCUACGGAUCGGUGACACCUGCUGGAGCCCCGAGUAAUGUUAUGACGACGCAACAGUAUUUGCAACAAAUACAGCAUCAACAAGCUACUGGCUCACCAGCCCCGGUUCCGGCUCCACCACGAUUGUACUAG